rnacentral:rRNA from 1 species
UACGAAGGGGGCUAGCGUUGUUCGGAAUUACUGGGCGUAAAGCGCGCGCAGGCGGCUAUCCAAGUCAGUGGUGAAAGCCCGGAGCUCAACUCCGGAACUGCCAUUGAAACUGUUUAGCUGGAGUAUGAGAGAGGUGAGUGGAAUUCCCAGUGUAGAGGUGAAAUUCGUAGAUAUUGGGAAGAACACCGGUGGCGAAGGCGGCCGGCUGGGGGUGCCCUGACGCUGAGGCGCGAAAGCGUGGGGAGCGAACCGG